CAAGUCGAGGGGCAUCGCAGUGUAGCAAUACAUGGGCGGCGACCGGCAAACGGGUGCGGAACACGUACGCAACCUUCCCAGAACUGGUGAAUAGCCUUUCGAAAGAGAGAUUAAUACACCGUAACUUAAUGAAGUGGCAUCAUUUUAUUAAUAUAGUUCCGACGGUUCUGGAUGGGCGUGCGCCUGAUUAGGUAGUUGGCGGGGUAACGGCCCACCAAGCCUACGAUCAGUAACUGGUGUGAGAGCACGACCAGUCACACGGGCACUGAGACACGGGCCCGACUCCUACGGGAGGCAGCAGUAAGGAAUAUUGGUCAAUGGACGCAAGUCUGAACCAGCCAUGCCGCGUGGAGGAUGAAGGUCCUCUGGAUUGUAAACUUCUUUUAUCGGAGAAGAAACCCAGACAUUCAUGUUUGGUCGACGGUACCCGAUGAAUAAGCACCGGCUAACUCCGUGCCAGCAGCCGCGGUAAUACGGAGGGUGCAAGCGUUAUCCGGAUUCACUGGGUUUAAAGGGUGCGUAGGUGGGCUAGUAAGUCCGUGGUGAAAUCUCUGAGCUUAACUCGGAAACUGCCGUGGAUACUAUUAGUCUUGAAUCUCGUGGAGGUAAGCGGAAUAUGUCAUGUAGCGGUGAAAUGCUUAGAUAUGACAUAGAACACCGAUAGCGAAGGCAGCUUGCUACACGAGUAUUGACACUGAGGCACGAAAGCGUGGGGAUCAAACAGGAUUAGAUACCCUGGUAGUCCACGCCCUAAACGAUGGAUACUCGACAUACGCGAAACACAGUGUGUGUCUGAGCGAAAGCAUUAAGUAUCCCACCUGGGAAGUACGACCGCAAGGUUGAACUCAAAGGAAUUGGCGGGGGUCCGCACAAGCGGUGGAGCAUGUGG
rnacentral:rRNA from 1 species